CAGGCCUAACACAUGCAAGUCGAACGGCAGCGCGGACUUCGGUCUGGCGGCGAGUGGCGAACGGGUGAGUAAUACAUCGGAACGUACCCUGUUGUGGGGGAUAACUAGUCGAAAGAUUAGCUAAUACCGCAUAUGACCUGAGGGUGAAAGUGGGGGACCGCAAGGCCUCACGCAGCAGGAGCGGCCGAUGUCUGAUUAGCUAGUUGGUGGGGUAAAGGCCCACCAAGGCGACGAUCAGUAGCUGGUCUGAGAGGACGAUCAGCCACACUGGGACUGAGACACGGCCCAGACUCCUACGGGAGGCAGCAGUGGGGAAUUUUGGACAAUGGGGGCAACCCUGAUCCAGCAAUGCCGCGUGUGUGAAGAAGGCCUUCGGGUUGUAAAGCACUUUUGUCCGGAAAGAAAUCGCGCUGGUUAAUACCUGGCGUGGAUGACGGUACCGGAAGAAUAAGCACCGGCUAACUACGUGCCAGCAGCCGCGGUAAU
rnacentral:rRNA from 1 species